rnacentral:rRNA from 1 species
AAUGUAAUGCAUACAAUGUUAAUGCACUGGAUCCCAUUAUAACUCCAUAGUUAAGCAUGCUUGGGAUAAAGUAGUACUAGGAUGGGUUAACUCUUGGGAAUUCCUAGUGUUUUACAUGC